rnacentral:rRNA from 1 species
GACGAACGCUGGCGGCGUGCUUAACACAUGCAAGUCGAACGGAAAGGCCCUGCUUGCAGGGUGCUCGAGUGGCGAACGGGUGAGUAACACGUGGGUGAUCUGCCCCUUACUUUUGGAUAAGCCUGGGAAACUGGGUCUAAUACUGGAUAGGACCAUGCUGUAGGUGGGGUGGUGGAAAGAUUAGUUUCGGUAAGGGAUGAGCUCGCGGCCUAUCAGCUUGUUGGUGGGGUAAUGGCCUACCAAGGCGUCGACGGGUGGCCGGCCUGAGAGGGUGGACGGCCACAUUGGGACUGAGAUACGGCCCAGAAUCCUACGGGAGGCAGCAGUGGGGAAUAUUGCACAAUGGGCGGAAGCCUGAUGAAGCAACGCCGCGUGGGGGAUGACGGCCGUCGGGUUGUAAACUCCUUUCAGCCAUGACGAAGCCCUUGUGGUGACGGUAGUGGUAGAAGAAGCACCGGCUAACUACGUG